rnacentral:lncRNA from 1 species
UGGCCACCCAAGCACCUUGUGCUGAGGCCAGGAAGUAGCUGGGACAGGACCCGUGUGUGUGCUGUUGCUGUGGCCUCCGCGUCCACUCACAGGACCACUGGACACCUCCAGUUUGGACCAGGACUCAGCAGGUGACUACAGGGAGCCCGAGUCCUGGCACCUGUACUGCUGUCCUCAGCCAGAACAAGGUCCCCAACGCUGAACAAGCUUUUGGGGCCAUGGGAAUGAAGUCUUCUACACCGAGCUGUGAGGCUUCCCUAGGACAGGUGCGUGCACCCCACAGCGCCCACCUGCACACCCCACAGCGCCCAGCCUGCAUGACCACCCAGGAAGUGAAGCCAAAAGUCAUUCCCAGUUUGCAGUGAGGAAGCGCCUUACACCAAGGCUCAGAGAGGGUGAGGAGCCUGCCCAGAGUCGCUCAGGAAGUGGGAGACCCUGACGACUCCACCCUGCUGGCCCUGACUCCCAGUUUGUGCGUAGGGGAUCAAUCAGAGUGGUGCUGGAUUGUCACCUGUGACCAGUCCACAGAAGGAGUGGGCAGAGAGGAUGCUCCUAGCGGCUCCCUCAGCCAUGCAGAAGGGAGGAGACUGGGAUCCCCAGACAGGAGGGAAAUAAGCACACGGCCAGGCAAGGGCCCCGAAGGACAGAGGCCCCGCGCUCAGCCUAGGCAGGGCGCACUGCCCUGGAGGGCAGCGAGCAAGCACCUGGUCCUCAG